AUCGUCAGUAAUUUUUAAGAAUGUAAAGGAGUGCUGACACAAAAAGUUUGAGAACUGCCACAAGUCUUCAACCAUUUUUUUUCAAGUUCAUUUGGUUUUUCACUCUUUCCAGCCUUCAGGGUCUUAUGAAAGUAGUUUUCCGCUUUGCCGGGGAUGGACGUGUUCCUGCACACCCUUCUUUAAUGUUGUCGUUAACUGUUCUCAGCUCUUCCAACACAACUCAGGCUGUCCAUCCUCAGCCCCUUUGGGCUGAAUGGCGUCUGGUUCUUCUCCUAGUGACUGAGCGUCCUCGCAAUGUGAGUCCUCAUCAGCUCUCCUCCUGCACAUUCAGAUUUCUCCUCCCUUCACUCUACCAACAAGUCUAUCUUAACCUCAAGAAGGAACAUUUUCCAUUUUUCAUUGUUUGCCUCUAGACCCAGCGUUUCUGACAGCUUGGUCUCAAGGCUGGCCUCCUUCGAAAAUGACUUCAGUGAUUUAGAAUCUCUCUUAACAUUCCUGAGCUCAGAAAUUUUACUUUUUCUUUAUCUAGAGCAGAAAAAGUUAUGCCAAGCUCUUUCUCCCUACAUUUAAAAGUUGGCUUUUGUCUACAAGAAAGCCCAUGCCACCAUCUCUUGGCUAGUGGGUGGCACUGCUAAGGGUUGGACCAGGACUCAACGCCAUCAAGCAGGGCCCUCAGCCCCACGCAGCAUUUCCACGACGACCUGGUGGUAAAGCUUGGUAGCCAUCACCAGACCAUAUACGCUACCAGUGGCUGCCACAGAAUAGCCCCAGGUUGUUAGGACCCUACUGGCCCAAAUAGAUGACAGGGGCCCCUUAGAAUGCUCCAUGCAGAACAUAAGCCAGUGCCUGGCAACAAGAAUAGACCAGCAGCGGGGGGGAGUUAGGGAGGGCCCAGGGAACAAAAUGACAAAACAGAGCUUUCCCACAUUUUCUACAUCGUGGCACACCAAUACAUCAUCGUCACCAGCGGAAGUGGGAGGCUCUUCAUAGAUUGAAAAGGGAAACUUCUUCCUGUGAGCAGUCCGUUCAUUUCUCUCCCAGACACAAGGCUGAAAUUUUAGUAUUACAGGAAUUUAAUCAGAUGCUCUCUCUCAGUUACUCAUGUUGGAAUUAGUGACCAGCUUAAACCCCAACGGCUUUUUCACAUUAACUGAUGUCAAGCCAGGUCAAGUUUUCCAGAAGGAGACCCCAAGACAAGGACUCACCUACAAGUGAUGUACUAAGGAGGUACACCCAGAAAAAACAAGUGAGGAAGGAUGAUGAAGCAAGAUAGAGAAGGGGGUCUUCUAGGAUGCCAGCCAAAUGGACAACGCCAGAGUGAAGACCCAGGAGAUGAAAUCGGAUCAAGUGGGAAGAGUAGCAUAAGGAAUCUAAAGUGGAACAAGGGAUCCAUAAACUCAACAUCACCAGUAGUUACUUAGAACCAAAAACACUCUCAUGAACUAAACGAAGCUGGAAAUAUUCACAGCUUUGUUCAUCUGCAAGCGUGAUUUCCAUUACCUACAUCCUUGUGAAUAUGCAACAGACCACAGGAAAUUCAGCCAAUCAGGACCCAGCAGUGCCCUGACCCGUGGCUGGUCACGCAUGGAGCUGUUCACUGAAACUCUUAUCAGAUCUCAACAAGCAAACUGCACCGGUGAUGGAUAUGACACUUAAUAAGCAACAUCGAUAAACUGAAAAUAUGAAUUUCCUGCUGUUAGUGACUGUGGCAGAGACCACUAAUUGUCUACUAUGGCAACAGCUAACUAUGCAUCAAAAACGUGUCCUCCCCGCAGGGGCUUCUGCGUUGCCAGUUAUGUUCUGUUUCCGGAGCUGGAGCUGGUCACACAGGUGUACUAAGUUUGUGAAAAUGCAUUGGGCAGUACAUUUAUGACAUAUGCACUUUUCUGACUGUAUACUAUACUCUAAUAAAAAGUUUCCAGAAAACAAUUAUUCAGUCUACUGAGGAUAGAUAAAUAAAAAAAUAGACUGUGAAAAAGUUUGGUGUUCUUUUCCAGAUACAGAGUUAUUAGUGGAAGCAGA